rnacentral:tRNA from 1 species
GCCUGGGUGGCUUAGUCGGUUAAGUGUCUGACUUCAGCUCAGGUCAUGAUCUCCUGGUAUAUGGAUUUGAGCCCCAUAUCAGGCU